GUUUGAUCCUGGCUCAGAGCGAACGUUAGCGGCAGGCUUAACACAUGCAAGUCGAGCGAGAAAGGGGCUUCGGCUCCGAGUAAAGCGGCGGACGGGUGCGUAACACGUGGAUAAUCUGCCUCGUGGCGGGGGACAACAGUCCGAAAGGACUGCUAAUACCGCAUGUCAGGUCGGAAACUCCGGUUUCUGACGAAAAAAGAGGGCGUCCGCAAGGAGCUCUCACCACGAGAUGAGUCCGCGUCCAUCAGCUAGUUGGCGGUGUAAUGGACCACCAAGGCUUAGACGGGUAGCUGGUCUGAGAGGAUGACCAGCCACACUGGGACUGAGACACGGCCCAGACUCCUACGGGAGGCAGCAGUGGGGAAUAUUGGACAAUGGGCGAAAGCCUGAUCCAGCCAUGCCGCGUGAGUGAUGAAGGCUCGGUCGUAAG
rnacentral:rRNA from 1 species